CCCUUAGAUGUUCUGGGCCGCACGCGCGCUACACUGAUGCAUUCAACGAGUCUAAAACCUGCUCUGAUAGGGGUGGGUAAUCUUUUGAAUGUGCAUCGUGAUUGGGAUAGAUGAUUGCAAUUUUUCAUCUUCAACGAGGAAUGCCUAGUAAACGCAAGUCAUCAGCUUGCAUUGAUUACGUCCCCGCCCUUUGUACGCACCGCCCGUCGCUCCUACCGAUUGAGUGGUCCGGUGAGGCUUUGGGAUCUGAGCAAAGAGAGCGUUUCGCUCGUUUUGCCCGGAAAACUCAGUCGAACCUUAUCAUUUAGAGGAAGGAGAAGUCGUAACA
rnacentral:rRNA from 1 species